UUAUUUUUUAUAAAAAAAUUCAAAUUUAUCUGCUAUUAUCUUGAAUUUACCUGCAAAAUAAGUUAAUUGUACAAAUUUAAUAAAUAUGUAGAAAAAUGUAA